UGAUAAAAUGGCUGAGUAGUAGGCGGUAGAUUGUAAAUCUAUUAACGAGGCUAAUAUCUCUUUUAUCAU
rnacentral:tRNA from 1 species